GCUAUCUGUUAAUGAUAUACAAUGAAAACUGAAAUCAGAAUUUUAUGGUUAAAUGUGUUUAGGUGGAGGUGGAAUCUUUUCAGAGAAACACUUGGUGAUGGGACAAGAAAUUAUCCCUUUCACCAUGUUUAAAGUGUAUUAGCGAUGGACAUGGACAUUUGACAACCCAAAUAAGAUAAGAAGACAAAUACAAAAGAAUGAAGUUAUCAACAAUGUGUAGUGGGGAAUUUUGCUUGUCUUAAUAGCAAAUUUGCUAGUUUACAUGCUACCUGUAAUAACUGAAAUAAAGCUUUGAAUCUUUUGAUUUUUUUAGCCAUAAUAGUGUUCAGAAUUCUGUGUGCUCAAAAUUUUCUCAGCUUCUUACGUUUUGAAUAACAUAAAUCAACAGUUUUUACUGUUUAAGGACUUCUGAAAUGUGUGGCAUAUAAAAUGCAUAAUCCCUUCCCACAGUCUUACUGGUCAUGCUCACAUUCUUCAUAUGCUCUUAAUCUGAUUUCUUUUUUAUUUUAUUUUAUUUGACUUCAUCGUUGAUGCGGCAAUGCAUGUCUUGGAAAGUCUAUUUGAAGUUUUCUUUUGUUAUUAUGUGUGUUUACCUAAUUUUAUUCAAAUUUUGCUUGCUGUAUCAGGCAGUUGAUGCUAUUGAUAAUGGAAUUAGUCAAUAUGACUCAAAUCAACCUCCUAGAUAUGUGAAUAAUGCAAGUUUAUCUUCUAGAGUGGGAAGAUUAAAUCUGGACUGGAUAGAUUCUAAUCAGUCUUUAGAGAGAGAGGAUGAAGCCUUUAAACAUGCAAUGGAACUUGCCGGCCACGAAUUUCUGGAGCUCGGUCAAUUG
rnacentral:misc_RNA from 1 species